UACGGAGGAUCCAAGCGUUAUCCGGAAUCAUUGGGCUUAAAGGGCGCGUAGGCGGCUUGCCAAGUCAGGGGUGAAAUCUUUCGGCUCAACCGGAAAAGUGCUUCUGAUACUGGCAGGCUGGAGGGAGGUAGGGGCAGAUGGAACUUCCGGUGGAGCGGUGAAAUGCGUAGAUAUCGGAAGGAACGCCGGUGGCGAAAGCGAUCUGCUGGAUCUCUUCUGACGCUGAUGCGCGAAAGCCAGGGGAGCAAACGGG
rnacentral:rRNA from 1 species